UUGUUGCCUUCUUACAGAAGAUGGUUUGGGCAUGCUCAGCUGCGCUGGUACUUGCAGGAAACCUGGCCAGCUGGGGUGGGCUGCAGUGAAGGAGCAGGGGGGAAGGCAGGGGCAUGGGUGGCCUGGGCUCCACCAGUCUGUCUCCUGCUGUGCUAGGGGCCCAGCCCUUUGAG